UCCUACGGGAGGCAGCAGUGGGGAAUAUUGCACAAUGGGCGCAAGCCUGAUGCAGCCAUGCCGCGUGUGUGAAGAAGGCCUUCGGGUUGUAAAGCACUUUCAGUCGUGAGGAAGGUAGUGUAGUUAACACCUGCAUUAUUUGACGUUACCUACAGAAGAAGCACCGGCUAACUCCGUGCCAGCAGCCGCGGUAAUACGGAGGGUGCGAGCGUUAAUCGGAAUUACUGGGCGUAAAGCGCAUGCAGGCGGCCUGUUAAGUCAGAUGUGAAAGCCCGGGGCUUAACCUCGGAAUUGCAUUUGAAACUGGCAGGCUAGAGUCUUGUAGAGGGGGGUAGAAUUUCAGGUGUAGCGGUGAAAUGCGUAGAGAUCUGAAGGAAUACCAGUGGCGAAGGCGGCCCCCUGGACAAAGACUGACGCUCAGAUGCGAAAGCGUGGGGAGCAAACAGGAUUAGAUACCCUGGUAGUCCACGCCGUAAACGAUGUCUACUUGGAGGUUGUGGCCUUGAGCCGUGGCUUUCGGAGCUAACGCGUUAAGUAGACCGCCUGGGGAGUACGGUCGCAAGAUUAAAACUCAAAUGAAUUGACGGA
rnacentral:rRNA from 1 species